CCGCAAAACCCUCGCCCGCCGGCCUCCUGGCGCCGCCGCCCGCGUCCCGCGAGCCCUGGCCGCUGCCGCCGCCGCCGCACUGGUUCCUGUCGCCGCCCUGCUGACCGCCCGGCCCUCCGAGGCCGCCCUCCCCGAGGGGCCGCGGCGGAAUAAAAGGUUUGGAUGCCACCGCUAAGGCCCCUCAGCGCUUGUGUGUAUGGCUUCUUGGAAGCUCUGAUCCGCACCUCCCCACCCCACCCCCAGUCUGGAGACGUCCAACUUUCCAGUGGCGCAGACCCAGGCGCCGGCAGGCCCCGCCCGACAGCCAAGCAGCCGCGCUGAUGGAUCGCCGAUACUUGGCCCGGGAGCAGGAGGGUCACGCGGCUGUCAUGUCACCCCACGGACAGGAGAGGGACAGCAGAACUCCCCCGGUGAGCCGGAAAGGAAACUCCUGUGCUCCCGAUCUUUACCCACCACCCGGUUCUCUGCAGCCUGAACAGCUCAGAAGAAGGUUCUCUUUGUUUUCCAGGUGGCUCAGGUCUUCAAGCUCUAAUACAGCAGCCGAGGACGGACCCAGCGAGCCUUGGCCUGGGACCCACCCCCUGGCAAGAAGGGCAAAGUCUGAGUUUCCUGUGGCUGCUGUAAUAAUUUACCAACUGGGAGGCUUAAAACACCAGAACUGCCUUCCCUCACGGCUCUGGAAGGCAGAAGUUCCAAAUCAAGAUGUCCAUCCACACUCCCUCAAAGGAUCCUGGGGAAGACCCCUCGGGGCCUCUCCCAGCUGCUGGUGGCUGCGUCACUCUUUUCUCUGCGUCUGUGUUCACAUGCUCUUCUCCUCUUUAGGAGUCUCUCCUCUGUGUCUGUUAGAGGACACCUGGCAUUGGAUUCAGGACCCACUCUAAAACCAGGAUGACCUUUUGAGAUCCUUAAUGACAUCUGCAAAGACCCUUUACUCAAAUGGGGAUUACAUUCACAGGUUUGGGGAAUCAGGACUUGGAUGUGUAUUUUUGGGGGGCCAACUGGGGUGCUGGCCCACCUCCAGGCUGCCCUCCCAGGACUUGUGUUGUAGGCCCUGUCCCUCACUGAUCCUGAGUGCUGGGUCCCCUUGGCGCCUCGCUAAAGCUCUUCCUGAGCACAGGAGAAAAUCCAGUGAGUGCUGAAC